rnacentral:rRNA from 1 species
AUUGAACGCUGGCGGCAGGCCUAACACAUGCAAGUCGAGCGGAGCGGCGGACGGGGGAGUAAGGCCUAGGAAUCUGCCUGGUAGUGGGGGAGAGCGUCCGGAAACGGGCGCUAAUACCGCAAACUCUCAGCUUAGCAUGGGUCGGAUUAGGUAGUUGGUGGGGUAAAGGCCUACCAAGGCGACGAUCCCGAACUGGUCUGAGAGGAUGAUCAGUCAAACUGGAACUGAGACACGGUCCAGACUCCUACGGGAGGCAGCAGUGGGGAAUAUUGGACAAUGGGCGAAAGCCUGAUCCAGCCAUGCCGCGUGUGUGAAGAAGGCCUUCGGAUUGUAAAGCACUUUAAGUUGGGAGGCGUUACCAACAGAAUAAGCACCGGCUAACUCCGUGCCAGCAGCCGCGGUAAUUC